rnacentral:lncRNA from 1 species
GUCUUUUAUAAUCUUACAUAUUUAAAUUUAUAAAAAUAAUAUCAAUUUUUAUUAAUUUAAGCAAUGUAAUACACAUGUUCUAACCUUAAGGAUCUAACAUAGCCACAUAGGUGAGUAUGAUCAUAUGGUUAUUAUCGUAAAUUUAUCAGGGAGGAUGUGACACCUUGCGGGUACCCUUCCACGGGUUGCAACCCGGGCCAACACACCGCCAUCACCAAUGCGGGUUGGUUGGGCCAGCUCCUAAAUCCGCUUGACAUUCGCGUUAAUCGAGGAAUUUUUGACCGUUGGCACUUGUUUUGACCGCUUGGUCAUUUAAAAAAAAUAUAUAUUCAACUCAAAUACUUUAUUCCAUUCUCUAUUUAAAAUCAUCCAUACCACACAACCAAACCACAAAAUUCUCUCCAUUCAAAUUCUCUCCCUUCUUUAUAUUCACAUUCGCGUUCAUCCGUUACCAAAUUUCUAGUUUCCAUGUCAUGUUCUUGAAUGUGCCAAACACAGCUUCAAUGAGGACUUUAACCACGUAGCGGCGUCGCGCAUUCUUGCGACCUCUGUUUAAGUUUAAAAUUUUUAAGUUUUAUGUUUUAAGUUUAUGUAAUGUUUUAAAUUUUAAAUAUAUGAAAUGUUUUAAGCUAUUUAAUCUUAAAAUUAAUAUUUAAUUUUGCGAAUAUAAAUAAAAAAGUAAAAAUUACAAGUUUUUUCCUUUAUCUUUAUACCACUUUUCAGGCGGUGUCCUUUUUAACGAAUGUUGACAGGCGGUGUAAGGUGAGGGUGUACAACGAAAUUAAAGGGGUGUUUGUGAUUCCUUCUAAAAAAAAAUAUUAACUUAUAUAAGUCUUAAGUCACAAAUACUAAUUAUUAUAGACAAGUCAUAACUUAGGGGAGUGGGGGUGGUCACUAGUGAUAGAAUUCUAUCACUAUCAAUAUCCAAUCAACUCAUGCCAUGUCAUCAUCCUCUAUUCUAUCACUAGUGAUAGAAAUGUAGUGGGGGUGGUCACUAGUGAUAGAAUUUCAUCACUCAAAAUUUUUUUAAUUUUUUAUUUUAAAUUAGAAAUUAACAAUAAAACACUAAAAUUAUAAAUUUCAUUAAAAUUAAAACAUACUACUUCAAUUUAACAUACUAGAAAUAAUUUAGACUACAAUGUAAAAAAAAAAACUACUCCUCGUCCGACUCAUGAAACUCCAAACCUAGAGAACCUACUAGUUCGAUUAAAUUGUAUCUCAACCGAAAGUGAGUUUCUUCAUUCCGCAACUCAUGCCAUGUCAUCGGAAACGUCGAAUCCGUAGGGAACUCCAUUUGAUAAAGAUGUAGAUUGUGUGAAAUGGGUUUAAAAUGGUUUAAAGAUGUAGAUUGGUGUGUGUAAAAUGGUUUAAAAUGGAGAUAUAAAUAGAUAAAGGGUUUAAAGGUUUUUUUUAUUGAAUAUUACCGUUAUUCAACGGUCAAAAACAAGCAACGUUCGAAUUUUUUCAACUUUUCAACGCGUUUCAAAUUUAACGCGUGAUAUAUAUAGUGGUGGCGGUGUUCGUGGUGGUUUAACGCGUGACGGGGGAUUCAUCACGGACCGCCCCACCUCCCCUUACAAAUACUAAUUAUCAUUUUUAACUUCUCAACACACAAAAGUAAUUUAAAUAAGCGAACCCAAACGCUAUAAAAACAAAUUAUUAACUCUUAAUAAGUUCGAGUUUUUUCCUAAAAGGGUGUUGGUGGAAAACUUAUUUACCAAAAUGGGUGAUUUGAAAAGUAUUUACUAAAAUAGGUGUUUUUUUGAAAAAAAAAAAACUACUUUUUCUCACUCCUUAUUUUAUAGGAUAAAAGCAAUUUCUAUUUUAAAAUAUUCUUAUAAGAAGAAAUUAUAGUAAAAUUAAAAAUGGAUUUUUUAACAUUUCUUUAACUUUAAAAAAAUCUUUAAUAGAAACACUUUUAUUUUUUCAUGAGUACUUUUUUAUUUUUUUUUAAAGUAUUUCCAUAAACGUUUUUGUUUUUAACUAAUAUAAUAAAGUAAGCUAAACCAUAUUUGUGGAAAGGUGUAUUGUGAAACCUAAUUUAAUUAUCAAUUAGAGAUCAAUGUAAUAUAAUGUUAUAAAGUAUUUUACCAAUUAUGUGGGUUGGAUGGUAAAUAAAUUCUAUAGAAGUAUGAUUUUAUGAUAAUUUGACGAAUUAUGUUUCAUAUACAUAUUAAGCAAAUAACACAAAACUUUUAUAUAAUGAUGUUUAAGUUCUACACGUAUGACAUUGGAUGAAGUUACAAUUAGGUGAUAUUUGAUUCAAUCAGUUUUCUUAGAACCUAAAAAAUCUAACCAGAUUAUUAUUAAAAAGU